rnacentral:rRNA from 1 species
CACGCCGUAAACGAUGAUCACUAGAUGUGGGGUUGGCAUAGCCGACUCUGUGUCGUAGCUAACGCGUUAAGUGAUCCGCCUGGGAAUUACGGUCGCAAGAUUAAAACUCAAAGGAAUUGACGGGGGUCCGCACAAGCGGUGGAACAUGUGGUUUAAUUCGACACUACGCGAGGAACCUUACCUAGGUUUGACAUGUAACUGCUACUGAUAGAAAUAUUGGGUUCUGUAGCAAUACAGACGGUUACACAGGUGC